rnacentral:rRNA from 1 species
AGUGAACGCUGGCGGUAGGCCUAACACAUGCAAGUCGAACGGCAGCACAGUAAGAGCUUGCUCUUACGGGUGGCGGGGGGCGGACGGGUGAGGAAUGCAUCGGCAUCUACUUUUUCGGGGGGGAUAACGUGGGGAAACUGCCGCUAAUACCGAAUACAACCUACGGGUGAAAGCAGGGGAUCUUGGGGCUUUGCGCGUUUGAUUGAGCCGAUGCCGGUUUGGCUGGUUGGGGGGGUAAGGGCCCGCCAAGGCGACGAUCCGUAGCUGGUCUGAGAGGAUGAUCGGCCACACUGGAACUGGGACACGGCCCGGACCCCUCGGGGAGGCAGCAGUGGGGAAUAUUGGACAAUGGGGGCAAGCCUGAGCCAGCCAGACCGCGUGGGUGAAGAAGGCCUUCGGGUUGUAAAGCCCUUUUGUUGGGAAAGAAAAGCGGCAGGGUAAUACUCCGCUGUUCUGCCGGUACCCAAAGAAUAGGCACCGGCUAACUUCGU